GUCCAGGGAUGGGAAUCGAACCCACAGUGUUCCGCUUAUUGGGCAGAUGCCAUGUCCACUAGGCUACCCUGGA
rnacentral:tRNA from 1 species